GUCUGUAAAAAUUCUCAAGCAACACAAAAACAAAAAUUCAAAAAAUAUUGCCUAUCUACUCACAAAGUUCCAUACUUUUUUUUCAUAGCACACUUAGCUUAGCAAAUUAUCGAUAGCCGUGACGAGUGAUCUGAGUCCAGAAAGCAGUGUGUCGCUAGUGGACAACGUACAUAAAACAUGGAAAUGAUUAUUACGCGGCAAGUUUUCCAAAUAUUUUGGUGGCCUGUGGGCGGAAUUAUAGAUUGAGGCCUUGAUUUUGGAGGAGUUUGAUUAAUAUAACUAUUUCCAUAGUUUCAUUACAACAAAUUGUAAACCACAACAGUGCUUUGACUUAUGCUCCGUUUGAAAAAAGUUUUUGAUGAAAAUUAAUUUUUUUAUGAGAAACGUUUUACACCAAAUUAAAUAUUCACUUAGUUCAAACCCAAACGAGCUGAAUCUAUACUUAUAUAAAAAAGCCGAACGAAGGCCAAAAUUUUUGUCGUAAUUUUACUUUCCGAUUAUACCCCUUCUUCUAUCAACUUAUUACAGAUUUAUGUAUUUUUAGUUUUUUAAUGUUCCAUCGUGUUCUCUGCGACAAGCCGGCAACUACUAUGCAUCAACUUCACCAGUUCACCCGCUUUCUUUUCUCUCUCCUCCAUUGAAACUACUCCUUCAACCUCUUCUUAAAUGAUCCAGGUUUAUUCUUUCAAUUUCUAUAUUUGCUUUUUGCAGGUUAACAAAUUACUUAUGGUUGAAUCGAAAUUAUUGAAAAAUAUGACCUGCUUUUCAGAUCUAAUGUUCGAUUUUUGGUAUGAUUUUGGUACUUUAAUUUGUGAUUGAUGAUUUUGAUGUAGUAAUUUGGUUAUCAUUUUCGGUGAUUGGUUUUUGGUUUAGAAUUUGUUUGUGAAAGAAUUCGGAUAUAGCUUGUUCCUCAUUAUUCUUCAAUAUCAAUGGAGACAUACUGAGUAAGUGGGUAUAGCACAGAAAUGAGAGGACUAUUUGAUUAAUACGAUAAGCGAUGAAGAGAAGGGUAACCCGGCUUGGCAGGCGCCGGCUGAUUUCUAUAUAAGUUGUAUUUUGUCUUGUCUUCCUUGAGGAGAAGCUGAGCUAAUGGAGCAAGUUCCGGAGGAGAUUAACCGAGUUUUGGUUGGGAUUCGGGCUUAUUUGAGUAUAAAGAGGCAUGUUAUAGAUGUUGGAUUUUCAAUUUUCGUUGAUAAUAGCAGAGAUCCAAGAGCUAAUGAAAAGUUUUGAGGGGUAUAUAAAACUCGUAACAAUAAGAGAUGGACAACAUCAAAACCACGAAAGUCAUGGAUACAUUGAAGCUCCCGCAUGGAUAUAGGGUUAACUAUGUUCCUAAAUAAAAUUGGAAAAAAAUAGAAACAAACUUGCUAAAAUAUUAAUUUUCAGAAGAUGUCGAGUCUGGUUCAUAGCUUUCAUCAGACUAGACGCUGUUCUCGCCUUUUUUUUACCAUUCUUAAUGAAAUUAAUGAGAAAUUUUGUACAAUUCUACCAAAAAAUUGUUCCUUUCUUAAUGAAAUUAUGCUUUUUUUUGUCUUCGCGUACUAUGCCUACGUGAACUAGACGUUAAAACAUUAUCAUGUACUUCUAUACGAGUUGUGAGUUGUGACAACA